GCUUUAUUUUUGGACUUGAGUGCGGUAAUUGAAGAUUUCUGCUUCUGGCUAUGAUGGAUUAGUUUGCAGCUGACCAAACUGAAAGCCAAGAACACAAGAAAUGGUAAAUACAAUGAGAACACAUUUUCGAAGUUACCAGAGAGUUAUCAAGGCAGUUAGAACGUGUACAGCCAAGAACCUGGAGAGAAAGAAAACACAUUGGAGGACAAGCGAGGACCUAAGUAAGACACGUACCUGGUGCGUUUUAUGAAAUGCCACAAACGUGACUCGGAACCAAAGCGGAUCGAUCGCCUUACGUGUGUGCAGAUGGCAGUGGAAUUCUAGUCAUGAACCUUCUGGCCUCCUUGGGAAAGAGCCUGAGCUGGCCCGCUGGGGUAUGAGAGGGAGAAGCGUAGCCAGACCACCCGUGGGAGGAGAGAUGCCUCGCUGACCCACAGGUGCUCUACACAGAAGAGAGAGGCCAUCUGAGACCAGAGAGCUGCCCAGCUGGCCUGUAGACUAGGUGCAGAGCACUAUUUGCUUUUCUGCGCUCCAUACCCGUCACCGUCAAGG